AUACUUACCUGGCAGGGGAGAUACCAUGAUCAAGAAGGUGGUUCACCCAGGGUGAGGCUCAGCCGCACGAUCUGAUUUCCUCGGGUUGCUGUUGUUCCUGGAACAA
rnacentral:snRNA from 1 species